AUGCAUUUCGACCCCUUCGUAGUUCUCAAUCAUUUCUUGGCACCGGGUGUGGCUAAACCAUCUAUGAUGGGGGGAGCGAAUGUGCAGGGAAGAAGCUUAGAUAAGAGAAUACGUUCUCGCAUCGCUUUUUUUUGUAGAAAGUUCGACCAGCGAGAAAAAGUGUUUGGCCGAAGCCAAAAAGAGGAUGCCCGGGAACCACUCCUAGGUCAAUUAAGGAUCAAAUGUUGGAACCUCAUGGGUAAGGACAAGGUGUCAAAGUGUGGAUUUCAUAUAGUAAAAAAAAAGGGACGUGCUAUAUCCGAAACAUACGAAAUUUAG